rnacentral:rRNA from 2 species
GACUCUCGACAACGGAUAUCUCGGCUCUCGCAUCGAUGAAGAACGUAGUGAAAUGCGAUACUUGGUGUGAAUUGCAGAAUCCCGUGAACCAUCGAGUCUUUGAACGCAAGUUGCGCCCGAAGCCGUCAGGCCGAGGGCACGUCUGCCUGGGCGUCU